GUGCUCAUUUUACCAGCACAUAUACUAAAAUUGGGAUGAUAUAAAGAAGCUCAGCAUGGCUCCUGUGCAAUAUCAAACUAAUUUGUCAAGAAUUCCAUAUUUCU